UUUUUCACCAAAGAAGGAAGAGGGGAAAUUGAUACAGCCUUUGGGGUACAGUAACUGCUGAACAGAACUCUAUGAAGAGACUGCUUUGCUUGAGAUCUCUGGGCAAUUCCUGCUGUUUUCUGGUGAGCAAGGAGGUUGGCAACCAUUCCAUGUCAAUCUCAUGUAUAGGAAGACUUUCAUGAUGGACUGAUGAACAACUUCCCAGAAAGGAAUCCAGUCUCUUCUCUGCAUCAUGCCCAUGAGGUUGCUUGAGGCCCAUCAUGGAAAGGAGAGAGGUGAUUUGGAAGAUCCUCAAGCACAAAGAGAAAGGACCUGUGUCCUAGAAAGUGUUGCACUGGCUGGCAUUCACAGUGCUGCCAACUGGAAAUCCAGGUGCAGAAGCUACAGCAAUUAAUAUUAAUCUGAAUUUGAUUAUUUGGCUCUUCAGCUUUUCAUUGGAUUAUGUUGACUUUGUAAUUUGAUUGCUACACAGAUGUAAGCUGUGCUGAUUGCAUUAAAAUAUGCAAAGGAAAUUAAAAGUAUUACCAAGUGA